CUGUCUGUUCCUAACAUUACCAGAGACUGUUCUUCUUCAUCAUCAGGAUCAUUAUCAUCAUCUUGUCCACUGGUGUGUUCAGUGGUGAAUGUGGGUCAUGUGACUCUCUCCUGGUACAAAGGAAACAGUUUAUUGUCCAGCAUCAGUGUGUUUGAUCUCAGCAUCAGUCUCUCUCUACCUCUGGAGGUGGAAUAUCAGGAUAAAAACAGCUACAGCUGUGUGAUCAACAAUCCCAUCAGCCACCAGACCAGACAUCUGGAAAUCAGCAAACUCUGUCAGCCAUGUGCAGACUCAGCUUCUUUGACAGUGUUGAUCUCUGUUUGCGUUGCUGAAUUUCUGUUGAUUGUCGCUGGAUUUGGGAUCUUCUGCAUCUGCUGGAAAUGUAGAAAAGCUGAUGAAGAAGGCAAGUGUUUCCUAUUCAUUUGUAUCAACUGAUCAUACUGUAAUUUAAUAUACUGUAAUUCAUGAAUGUAACAACAUUUCGUUUCCAAAUAAUGUGUGCGGUUAGUGUUUUUUGCAAUGAUCUGCCCUGAUUAACGGUCUUGUCACAUGCAAAGCUAAUUCUGUUUUUUUUUUUUUUUUUUUUUUUUUUUACACUCUGCUAGUAUUUGUUGAAAAGUAACUAUGUGAUACAUACUGUAUGUUAAUGCACUUUUUUAAAAUUGCAAUAUUAAAUAUAUCUAAUUAAUUGUGUGCAUAAAUGAUACUGAUCAACUUUGGAAGUGCUAAAAUAACACAUUGUAAAUUACUCGUUUAAACAGUUCAGAUUUGUGAAGACGAGAUCACUCAUGUCAUUAUGAUAAAUGAGACAAUGUUCUACGAAAGAAAUGCACAUGCAUUGGUAAGAUUAUUUAUUUCAAACUAUAUUAUGUCUCUAUCAUUUCAGCAGAGUCAGAUGAAGAUCAGUGUGCACUUUUCUCUGUAUAAUUAUUUAUCACAUAGUAUUAUAAAAGACUAACAUAUAUUUUCUUUCUCUAAUAGUUCCAAAAGAAGCCAAUUUACUGUUAAUUGUGUAUUGCAGGCAUACAAGAAAAUUUGAAGAGGAGGAUCAAGUAGUAGACUAUAUUUCUGUUAGCAUAAGAA